rnacentral:rRNA from 1 species
AUGAGCCGCCGCACCAGGCGCGGCGACCGGCAGCAGCCGCCGCCGGCUCGUCCCACGACCGUGUCCAACAACCCCAUCUUCUUCGUGCAUGACGGCCUCGACGACGUGCCGGGCGCCGCCGUCGCCAAGCCGCUGCCGCUGCCUCCGAGCAGGGCGCACCUGCAGCCUGCAGGCUCGGGGCGGGCAGACAGUUCCACUUCCACGUUAAUGGCGAGCCGGCACGGGAGCGGCUGGGUCCUGAGGAGGAUGCACCACCACGACCCGUUCCUCGCCGCCUACGUGGCCUGCACCAAGAGCGGCGGCGGCGGCAAGGUCGACGCUGCUCCGGCGAAGCGGCAGCAGAAGAAGAACAGGGGCAGAGGCGAUGCCGCUGUCCAGGGGUGCGGCAUUUGGAGCGGUUGGACGGCGGCGGGAGCGAAGUACGCCGGAGCGAUCUCGUGUAAGUACGGCUGCGACGUUGCCACCGCGCAGGGCGACGAUCCUGCCGCGUCCCCGGCGCCCAGGCUGCACCUGUCGCGGCAGCUGGUGGUGAUUCCGGCCAGCAAGAGGGCCCUGCAGCCACGGGGGCGGGCGCAGGGCUGA